rnacentral:misc_RNA from 1 species
GCGGAGGAAAAGAAACCAACAGGGAUUGCCCCAGUAACGGCGAGUGAAGCGGCAAGAGCUCAAAUUUGAAAUCUGGCCCCCUCGGGGCCCGAGUUGUAAUUUGCAGAGGAUGCUUCGGGUUCGGCCUCGGUCUAAGUCCCCUGGAACGGGGCGUCAUGGAGGGUGAGAAUCCCGUCUGGGAUCGCCGGCCGGGCCCGUGUGAAGCUCCUUCGACGAGUCGAGUUGUUUGGGAAUGCAGCUCCAAAUGGGUGGUAAAUUUCAUCUAAAGCUAAAUACUGGUCGGAGACCGAUAGCGCACAAGUAGAGUGAUCGAAAGAUGAAAAGCACUUUGAAAAGAGAGUUAAACAGCAUGUGAAAUUGUUGAAAGGGAAGCGCUUGCGACCAGACUCGCCCGCGGGGGCUCAGCCGGCAUUCUUGCCGGUGCACUCCCCCGCGGUCGGGCCAGCGUCGGUUUGGGCGGUUGGUCAAAGGCCCCCGGAAUGUGUCGCCCCUCGGGGCGUCUUAUAGCCGGGGGUGCAAUGCGGCCUGCCUGGACCGAGGAACGCGCUUCGGCACGGACGCUGGCGUAAUGGUCGUAAGCGGCCCGUCUUGAAACACGGACCAAGGAGUCUAACAUCUACGCGAGUGUUCGGGUGUCAAACCCGUCCGCGCAGUGAAAGCGAACGGAGGUGGGAGCCCCUAAGGGUGCACCAUCGACCGAUCCUGAAGUCUUCGGAUGGAUUUGAGUAGGAGCGUAGCUGUUGGGACCCGAAAGAUGGUGAACUAUGCCUGAAUAGGGUGAAGCCAGAGGAAACUCUGGUGGAGGCUCGCAGCGGUUCUGACGUGCAAAUCGAUCGUCAAAUUUGGGUAUAGGGGCGAAAGACUAAUCGAACCAUCCG